rnacentral:piRNA from 1 species
UAUUACUUACCAGGAGUGCACAUCUUCAC